GGUCAUUUCACGCCUUUUAUUUAUGUUAUUUCUCAUUGUUGCCUCUUUUAUUUAACACAUUCAUUGCAGUCGUCGUCAGAACCAAUGCACUAAACCCUCACUAUAUACGGAUGUCAUUCCAGAACGACACAGCUCUUUUAGAAAAAACCCAUUUCAAAGCUUUCUGUAGAAUGUUGGGGUAUUUUUGGAAUUGAAUCGGUGUCACAUGCCUUUAGUAUCUCUUUGGCAAAGUUACUGUGAAGACUGUAAAUGAUGGUUCUACUCAUAAAUUUGUUGUUUAAACAUCUGGAUUUCAAGCAUUAAAUGCUCAUCAUUGGGUUGAAGGAGUUGUUUAAUGCUUGAAAUCCGGAUUGUUGUAAACAACAAAUCUGUGUGUAGAAUCAUUUUAUUAUCAUAAACACAAAUUUUCGAUUUGCAUUUUUUAAACGAUUUUUUGAACAAGAAUAAAUUAAUCUAAAUUUUUGCCAUAUCUUGGCAGAGUGAACAAGUUAAUCAAAACAUAUUUUGAAGAUCACAUGUUUCGGAUCAUGAAACAAGUACUUUUUUAUGGUUUAUUCAAUGAAAUUUUCAGGUACUUGUAACCAAAUUUAAUCAACAAUACAUGAAUCAUUUUGUUGUACUAUUUAGUACCUAUUGCCAUCUUCCAUGUAAUUUUGUCCUCCCAGAACUUUAGGUUUUAAUGAUGUUUUCUGCAAUCCUCACAUUGUUUCUUUCAUUAAUUAGGCAAGACCCAGAAUAAGUGAAAUUCUGAAAUACCAGGCGAAUACGCUGGGUUAGGGAGCAUAUCCCAGCCUAGAUCCAUCAAAUUCAGCUUUUGGAGUUUAGUAGACACUGCUACUGUUUUCUUCUCUAAACAAAGGACUCACUUUGCACACCCAGAGAGCAGCUGGAUAUGUUAAUUGACUCAAAAUUCAUAAUUAACAGCCAUUUAUGCUGGGAUUGGAAAUUGACAUUUCAUUGCAGGUAACAGUUUCCAGGCAACGUUCAGCUUGCAGCAAGGUGAAACAUGACUUUUUCACCAUCCCGACUUAUUGGACCUGAUAGAGCCCGCCCUAUACUUACUAUGGAUGUGCACUCGCUCCCUUGCUACUUUACUUACAUUAAAUAAACAAUUUCUGUCACUUUC